rnacentral:rRNA from 1 species
CGGACGGGUGAGUAGUGUCUGGGAAACUGCCUGAUGGAGGGGGAUAACUACUGGAAACGGUAGCUAAUACCGCAUAACGUCGCAAGACCAAAGAGGGGGACCUUCGGGCCUCUUGCCAUCGGAUGUGCCCAGAUGGGAUUAGCUAGUAGGUGGGGUAACGGCUCACCUAGGCGACGAUCCCUAGCUGGUCUGAGAGGAUGACCAGCCACACUGGAACUGAGACACGGUCCAG